GGAUCCAACACUUUUUGGUUUUGCCUUACAGUCUGGGAGAUAAAAGCCUACCAUUGGAUUAAGUUUGAGCUCAAUAUUUUACAAGGGAGACGCGCCAUUGCAAGAAGGCAAGGUAAAGCGCAGGAAGCGAUAGGCGGCGACCAACUCAACCAAUACUACCAUACACAAGGGGGUAAAGACAAUCUGAAGCAAGGAAGGGCUGAGAAAGAGAUUGUCGAUACGUGCUGUAGAACUUGGACAAGAAGCAUCUCGUGGACACGUGGUGCAGGCAGCGAAGAAGCAGAUACAAGACAUUGGAUCUGGUUGCGUCAUCGGGGGUUGUGUGCAGGAACGUGUAGGCCAAGGUCUGGUGCACGAAUUUUGGCAACAGCCGAAGACGACGAGAAGGUUCCAGUUGAGUUUGAAAGUCUUCAAAGUGUGCGUGGCGCUACAGAGAGGCGCGAGCACGAGACGGAGCGGGACAGCAGCAAUCAUCCCCGAGUGUAAGCGGGGCAAAAGAGGUCAGACUGGAGAGGGAGCGUUGCCAGAAAGUUUGUUUUUGUAAUAUUUUUAAAAUGGAGAGAAGCGAGAUCUUGGCAUUGCGAGUUUGAGAGUUGCGUUGGAAGUUGUAUGAGUUGCAAUUGAGUACGACUGGAUUAAAGGUGGAAUUGCAACAGAGAUUAUUGUCACAUUACGAAGUAUAUAUCGAGGGUGAGUCAGAGACGGAGGAUAAUGGUGAGAAGAUAUUAUAUCGGUGUCAUCCGUGUCAACUACAAUCAAUCGACAAAACAGAGCAGGCUGGCAUCAAGGGCUAGGAGUUGAGAGACCAGGUAGAUCGUGGUUCACCCUUAAAGAUGUCGAGGGCAGCGUAAGUCAGUUCUCAGGAUCGAAGUCCCCGGAUAUCGAUCAAUGGAGAGGAGAGUUGGAAGAUUGUGCAGCUACAGUUGAGUGGAACCAGCUACAGGUAUUCGUGUAUGCAAAACAGUUGCUAGGUGGAGCAGCCAAGAUGUUUGUGCAGAAAGUUUGAAAUCGGCCUUGUUAGAGGAGUUUGGAGUUAACCUAUUGUAGUUUUUGGGUUAGAGUUUUUUUUGUUAAAGGCCGACUUUCGUAACUUUUUGCUAGCUCCUGUUUGGUACAUCAGCUGAUCGACGAUACAAGGUGGUAGAAGUUCCAGGUAAAGAGAGGUUUAUUUGUAAUCAUGUUAGCAUUUUGGAAAUGGCGUAUGUCCCACUUUCGCUGUUAACCGGAUGCGCAGGAAGUUCAGCUUAUGCCACGGUCUUUUCAAUUCUAGACGUGAGUCGAUCAAGUCGCUUCUCAGACCAAUACCAAGUUUUAGGGCAAAGAACUUAAACUGCGUCUGAAAAUUGUACAACGAUAUUCAGAAAAUACCUGAAGAGAAAUACAGCUGCCGCUGGGCCGCUUGGAAUAUCAAAAAAGUGCCAAACGCAAGUAAGUGAUUGGCACUUGGUACUUAGUGCAAAUCUUUUACAUUGAAGCUACAAGUUCAUUCACCCUUGAACCAAAGCCGUGCAUUAAAGGGAAUAAAAUCACUCGUUUUGCCGAGUAGAAAAGCACAAACAAAAACUACUGUUUUGUCUACGGCAGUGCCAAAUAAUUAAUAAUUGAUUGCGCUCCCGGCGAUCGGGAAUUCGCCGCUAUUAGGCGCAACUAAAGCCGAGAGAAGCCGCUGCAAUUGGACGAGAAAUAGUUUAAUUCGCACCUCCGAAGCCACCGUCUGGACGGGGAAGCCGUAACCUUCGUUAAAUUGUUGUAUACAUAUCUCUGGCUUUUUUUUUUGUCCCACACUAGCCUAAGUGUAAAAUAAGUUUGGUAGUGUUAAGUGAAACAUGAAAUAUUAAGUGAUUACGGAGGAAUGUAAAAGUCACAUAAAAGUG